UCUCUGGUAGUAUAGUGGUAAGUAUUCCCGCCUGUCAAUCUGACUGAACGCGGGCGACCGGGGUUCAAUUCCCCGCCAGAGAG